UUCCAUCUAUACUAAGAGACAUUGUCAUUCAACUUACCCAUGAACUGGGAUGCAGAGAAUCUUUUGCAUGGUGGAGAAGAUUUUGGUCACUUUCUCUGGACUCCUAUCAGUUCCAUGCUCAGAAAUGAUAAUGGACUUGUGGAUAUCUACAACAACAGAAGAAACUUGAAUGGGUUCGUCGUUGCAGAAUGCACCCUUCCCUUUCCUUGCUUUAUACAUCUUGUCCUCCAAGCAGCUGUACACCACACCAAACUCCAACUACAAACAGAAAUCGUUUAUUAAAGUGUCGCAUCAAGCGGUGAGAAUGAAA